UCUUUGCAUGGAAGUAGGAGGCCAUCUUUGAUAGCCAAGGAUGAUUUGCCUGUAAAACCGAUUGUCGUCGCCUCUCGGUGCCGUUCCAGGCACUCGAAGGGAGGGCGGCAGCAACAGGUUCUAUGGGCAAGUCAGCCUGGCUACCCGAGUACCUCUUACCCAUAUUCCAUGCCA